AUCCCUAACUUUAAUACCUCCAUAUUCUCCCAUUAUCCAUCUUCUUCAUACCCAGAUUGUCAGAAGAUUCUCUCUAUCUCGUAGCAAAUCCAAGGCACCAAGAUUCCCAUUGUUAGGCAAAGGAAGCUCACCGGCUUUGUGAGCGAACCAAGGUGUCUCCGCUUCCCAAAUUCCUCUCCUUCACUCUCUGCGGAAAUUCCUAAAUCAUUCUUCAGUCUCCAAAUCAACAUUGCUGGAAUGGCAGCCAUUUCAAAUGUCACGGGAUGAGGUCACGGCGGGAGCUCAGUAAGGUCUCAGUUUCAGUCACUUCCUGGAUUGAUGUCUCCGAUCUUUUGGCCCUUUAAGAUAUAAAGGACAUGGACAAGCCUUUGGAAAGAAACACAACCUUGCUAGUCCCUUGAAGUGGAACACCAUUUGUGUGAAUUAAGCAGGAUACAAUUAUGUUCAAUGCCUAAUUCAAUCUUAAACUGAUGGAACAUUGGUUGAAUUUAAUUCACAUUGCUGGGAUGCGAAUCAUUCAAAAGGAAGUUGGUAUGUGUAGAUUCUGAAUUCAUGAAGCUUUUCUGAACAAAAAAGUAGAAGCUGCAGAUUGGUAAUAAGAACAAACUGCUACUACUGAACAUUAUUGAGACCCAAAAGUGGGGAGAUGCAUACAGCAUACGCAAAAAAUAUUCAGUAUUCAGACAGUGCUCGAGUCCGAAUGAACAUAUGCCAAGUGAGCUGAAGAAAGUUAUUGUGCAAGCUUGAAUGGAUGAGAAGCUUACUCAAGCUGAGUUUGCUCAAGUAGCACCCUCUCCAUAGAUAGACAAAGCAGAGAGAGAACCCGAGUUGUGAGACGCAGUGAGGCAAGAAGAGGAUCUGGUAUUAAAAGAGAAUCAAAAUAUCUGUAACGUAUUAACUACAUCAAUAUAUUGAUUUAUAUCCACACUAUUUGGAAGAAUCAUUGUUGGAUGAAACUGUUGGAAUGGUCCAGUAUCAAAGUAUGAAGAACAGGCUUGUGAAAAAGAUGUGUACGCAUGGCUCUUGAAGUUCUUUAUGCCUAUCUAGAAGACUUGAACAAAUGCUGUUAACAAUUUAAUUUAGCUAGCUUUAUGUCUGUUUUAUAGUUAAUCAACUUGAAGAUUGAGUCCCAUGAACUGGUAAUCAUUUGGCUCUCUGUGUAGUUAUAUUCUUUGUGAAAAUAUAGCAUGUACUUGUGUAAAUCUAC